GCCGGGCAUGGUGGCUCAUGCCUGUAAUCCCAGCACUUUGGGGGGCCGAGGUGGGUGGAUCACCUGAGGUCAGGAGUUCAAGACCAGCCUGGCCAACAUGGUGAAACCCCAUCUCAA
rfam:Gorilla gorilla gorilla genomic chromosome, chr12, whole genome shotgun sequence